CCUACGGGUGGCAGCAGUGGGGAAUAUUGGGCAAUGGGCGCAAGCCUGACCCAGCAACGCCGCGUGAAGGAAGAAGGCUUUCGGGUUGUAAACUUCUUUUCUCAGGGACGAAGCAAGUGACGGUACCUGAGGAAUAAGCCACGGCUAACUACGUGCCAGCAGCCGCGGUAAUACGUAGGUGGCAAGCGUUAUCCGGAUUUACUGGGUGUAAAGGGCGUGUAGGCGGGACGUCAAGUCAGAUGUGAAAACCCCGGGCUCAACCCGGGGCCCUCCUUGGAAACGGUAGUUCUUGAGUACUGGAGAGGCAGCCUGAAUUCCUAGUGUAGCGGUGAAAUGCGUAGAUAUUAGGAGG
rnacentral:rRNA from 1 species